rnacentral:rRNA from 1 species
GAUGAACGCUGGCGGCGUGCCUAACACAUGCAAGUCGAACGGAGCUGCUUUGAUGAAGUUUUCGGAUGGAUUUAUAACAGCUUAGUGGCGGACGGGUGAGUAACGCGUGGGUAACCUGCCUCACACUGGGGGAUAACAGUUAGAAAUAGCUGCUAAUACCGCAUAAGCGCACAGUUCCGCAUGGAACAGUGUGAAAAACUCCGGUGGUGUGAGAUGGACCCGCGUCUGAUUAGCCAGUUGGCGGGGUAACGGCCCACCAAAGCGACGAUCAGUAGCCGGCCUGGGAGGGUGAACGGCCACAUUGGGACUGAGACACGGCCCAAACUCCGACGGGAGGCAGCAGUGGGGAAUAUUGCACAAUGGGGGAAACCCUGAUGCAGCGACGCCGCGUGAGUGAAGAAGUAUUUCGGUAUGUAAAGCUCUAUCAGCAGGGAAGAAAGUGACGGUACCUGAAUAAGAAGCCCCGGCUAACUACGUGCCAGCCGCCGCCGUAA